rnacentral:lncRNA from 1 species
CUGAGGCAGCCUAGACUCGGAGGAGGUUCUAGAAGACAUCUGGUUCAGCUCCAACCCGCUGCAUGAAUGCUGCCCACAAACUAUGCCCAGGUAGAGAAGGUAUGCUGUGACCUUGGCCAGCUUGAGUCAAGGCUUAGAGAUAGCCCUGCUGGGAUCUUUCCAGCCAUUGUGUGGAGCUCAGCCCUUUGCAGACCUUCUUGGCUUCCUGAUGCGUCUCUCCUUUCUUUUUGUCUGCAUUUCAAGUUAACGCCCUAUCUCUCUGUGCUCCUGAAUUCUGAAGAAGCAAGGUCCUUUCUGUGUGUUUUUUCCAGGUCUUAUUCAGGAGUUCAAGUCCAAUUGCACGCCAUCAAUCAGCCACUGGCCCCAGGUUUCCUGUUCUUCGCUGGCCUCCAAAAGUAAGAACUGCAGCCUGAGGAGUGAGCUUUGAUUUCACGUGCCUGACCGAGCCCCACAGUCCAGACCCAGCCCCGGCUUCACUCGAUUCUCCGUGUGUUUCACUCGAUUCUCCGUGUGUCUCUUGGAAGCUCCUUUCCCCCUCUGCCUCCCGGG